rnacentral:rRNA from 1 species
CCUACGGGUGGCAGCAGUGGGGAAUAUUGCACAAUGGGGGAAACCCUGAUGCAGCAACGCCGCGUGGGUGAAGGAGCGUUUCGGCGCGUAAAGCCCUAUCGGCAGGGAAGAAAAUGACGGUACCUGACCAAGAAGCCCCGGCUAACUACGUGCCAGCAGCCGCGGUAAUACGUAGGGGGCGAGCGUUAUCCGGAUUUACUGGGUGUAAAGGGGGCGCAGACGGCAAUGCAAGCCAGGAGUGAAAGCCCGGGGCUUAACCGCGGGACUGCUUUUGGAACUGGAUGGCUGGAGUGCAGGAGGGGCAGGCGGAAGUCCUAGUGUAGCGGUGAAAUGCGUAGAUAUUAGGAGGAACACCGGUGGCGAAGGCGGCUUGCUGGACUGUGACUGACGUUGAGGCCCGAAGGCGUGGGGAGCAAACAGGAUUAGAUACCCGUGUAGUC